AAAAAGUGUAACGUAUACGUUCUAUAGAAGCAGCUCAAGCAACACCCCGGAAAACGCUGGCUGUUGGCCAAUUUUAUGGCCAAAGAGUGUUUAUUGACCAUCAGCGAAGAGGAUGGGAUGCAUCGUCCCUGAAGUUGGUGGAAGAAGGAACAUCAGAAGCGGAGUUAUCACAGAGGGUCCUCAAUCAAUCGCACUAAAAGUCGGAGGGAAUUACGGAUAUACUUUACCCGCUUUACACGCGACAAGGCGGAGGAACUGGCACGCUGUGUGGCAAUAAAAUUUUACAGGAUGGAAUCCGCGCCGCCCUUACAUGAGGAAUUGUGGACAAUGAUACAAUUAAUCGGGAUGGUGGAAAGAUUUUUAAAUAGGAGGACGGAAAGGGCAAUCAGUGGAAAUAAAAUGUUAAGCCUUCCUCGCUGACAUCGUAUUUAACAUCCUCAUUGAUAUGAUUACAAGACCAAUAUUUGAAAAGGACGCAACAACAGCCAAAAUUUAUUCUUGUAUUGUUAUUCAGUUAUUGUUACUUGUUCAGUUAUUUGUCUAUGUAUAGCUAUUUAUGUAGGUAGAAGAGAAAUAGGAAACAAAAUGUUUUGGCUGUUAACGCGAGUUAUGAGACGAGCCAUUUUUAUAACUACCUCGAACAGGACGAUUUAGUUGAUGAAGAAUUGAAGGUAUUAGAUUGGACGGAAAAUGUUGUUUGCUCAGGUUUUACGUACAGUGACUAUAAUAACAGUGUCGUCAAGUGUCAGAAUUGGAACAGAAUCGUCCGUCAGUUCCAUACAAAUGCACGUUCCAAACGAGCACGAGACCUGUCAAACGUGGCAUAUGGCGUUACUCUUCUUAGAGGACUCCAGUUUUACGUACUAAUGACUGUCAGAACGUUUGCCUUAAUUAUUGAUAUCAACUUUGUAUGUAUAAUUUCAAUAUCAUUGAUAAUGUAUUAUUUACCUUCUUUACUUGACCAAAGCAUUGGAAAAAAACAUAUAAGGCCAUAUGAAGUUAGAACGAUAAAAAUGCUUUAGUAUUUUUAUAAGCUACACAUUUACUAUUUCGAAACGCUUUAUUUAUAUUCUAUGCUUUGAGUUGUUCUUAAUAGUUGUAUCUAUCUUCUAUCUUCUAUGUAUUUAAAACAAAGUUGGCAUUUGUACAACUGUACAUCACUUAAUAAUAGACAGCCCAAUUUUUGCUGAUUUAUAUCCCUUUAAUUCUAUUAACGAUGAAGUUGAAAAAAAAAAUUGGCAAUCAAAAUCCAAUCCUUACGAUGAAAUGGUUUGUCGCGCAUUUUGUAUGGUAAUUUCAAAUCAUGUCAUCUAAGUUCACAUUAUUAUCAGAUUACGGAAAGAUCGAUUUUUGUUAAUUUCGGAAGUAUAUAGGAAGAAAAUAGUAAUUUAUUCAAGGCUCAAUUCACUUGUCUUGUUUUAAGACUAUGCCUAA